GAUGAAGAACGUAGCGAAAUGCGAUAAGUAGUGUGAAUUGCAGAAUUCAGUGAAUCAUCGAAUCCUUGAACGCACAUUGCGCCCUUUGGUAUUCCUUAGGGCAUGCCUGUUCGAGCGUCAUUUAAACCUUCAAGCUAAGCUUGGUGUUGGGUGACUGUCCGCUUCACGGCGGACUCGCCUCAAAAUUAUUGGCGGCCGGUACAUUGGCUUCGAGCGCAGCAGAAACGCGAACUCGGGCCCGUCGUAUUGGCUCCCAGAAGCUAUCUUCACAAUUUUGACCUCGGAUCAGGUAGGGAUACCCGCUGAACUUAAGCAUAUCAAUAAGCGGAGGA
rnacentral:misc_RNA from 1 species